rnacentral:rRNA from 1 species
CUGGCGGCGUGCCUAAUACAUGCAAGUCGAACGGUCUUUCUACGGAAGCUUGCUUCCACUGAGAAGAUAGUGGCGAACGGGUGAGUAACACGUGGGUAACCUGCCCAUAAGAGGGGGGAUAACAUCCGGAAACGGGUGCUAAUACCGCAUAGUUUUCUUGAUCGCAUGAUCGGGAAAGGAAAGACGGCCUUUGUGCUGUCGCUUAUGGAUGGACCCGCGGCGUAUUAGUUAGUUGGUGAGGUAACGGCUCACCAAGACGAUGAUACGUAGCCGACCUGAGAGGGUGAUCGGCCACAUUGGGACUGAGACACGGCCCAAACUCCUACGGGAGGCAGCAGUAGGGAAUCUUCCGCAAUGGACGAAAGUCUGACGGAGCAACGCCGCGUGAGUGAAAGAAGGUUUUCGGAUCGUAAAACUCUGUUGUCAGAGAAGAACAAGUUGGAGAGUAACUGCUCCAGCCUUGACGGUAUCUGACCAGAAAGCCACGGCUAACUACGUGCCAGCCGCCGC